rnacentral:tRNA from 1 species
ACAUUGGGGGUUCAUUGGUAGAAUUCUUGCCUUCCAUGUGGGAGGCCCUGGUUCAAUUCCCAGCCAAUGCA